rnacentral:rRNA from 1 species
UGGGGAAUAUUGCACAAUGGGCGAAAGCCUGAUGCAGCAACGCCGCGUGAGUGAUGAAGGUCUUCGGAUUGUAAAGCUCUGUCUUUUGGGACGAUAAUGACGGUACCAAAGGAGGAAGCCACGGCUAACUACGUGCCAGCAGCCGCGGUAAUACGUAGGUGGCGAGCGUUGUCCGGAUUUACUGGGCGUAAAGGGUGCGUAGGCGGAUGUUUAAGUGAGAUGUGAAAUACCCGGGCUUAACUUGGGUGCUGCAUUUCAAACUGGAUAUCUAGAGUGCAGGAGAGGAGAAUGGAAUUCCUAGUGUAGCGGUGAAAUGCGUAGAGAUUAGGAAGAACACCAGUGGCGAAGGCGAUUCUCUGGACUGUAACUGACGCUGAGGCACGAAAGCGUGGGUAGCAAACAGGAUUAGAUACCCUGGUAGUCCACGCCGUAAACGAUGAGUACUAGGUGUAGGAGGUAUCGACCCCUUCUGUGCCGCAGUAAACACAUUAAGUACUCCGCCUGGGGAAGUACGAUCGCAAGAU